rnacentral:rRNA from 1 species
GACGAACGCUGGCGGCGUGCCUAAUACAUGCAAGUCGAGCGGACUUUCAAGAAGCUUGCUUUUUGAAAGUUAGCGGCGGACGGGUGAGUAACACGUGGGCAACCUGCCUGCAAGACGGGGAUAACUCCGGGAAACCGGGGCUAAUACCGGAUAAUAUCUUCCUUCGCAUGAAGGAAGGUUGAAAGGCGGCGCAAGCUGCCGCUUGCAGAUGGGCCCGCGGCGGAUUAGCUAGUUGGUGAGGUAACGGCUCACCAAGGCGACGAUGCGUAGCCGACCUGAGAGGGGGAUCGGCCACGCUGGGACUGGGGCACGGCCCAGACUCCUACGGGAGGCAGCAGUAGGGGAUCUUCCGCGAUGGACGAAAGUCGGACGGAGCAACGCCGCGUGAGCGCAGAAGGUCUUCGGAUCGUAAAGCUCUGUUGUCCGGGAAGAACAAGUACCGUUCGAACAGGGCGGUACCUUGACGGUACCUGACCAGAAAGCCACGGCUAACUACGUG